GACGAACGCUGGCGGCGUGCUUAACACAUGCAAGUCGAACGAUGAAGAAGAGACACGCGAACUUCGGUUCAAAUUUCACUUCGGAUUAGUGGCAGACGGGUGAGUAACGCGUGAGCAACCUACCUCUUACAAAGGGAUAGCCUCGGGAAACCGUGAUUAAUACCAUAUGACACAUUCAUAAGGCAUCUUAAGAAUGUUAAAGCUACGGCGGUAAGAGAUGGGCUCGCGUCCCAUUAGCUAGUUGGUGAGGUAACGGCCCACCAAGGCGACGAUGGGUAACCGGGCUGAGAGGGUGAACGGUCACAUUGGAACUGAGACACGGUCCAAACUCCUACGGGAGGCAGCAGUGGGGAAUAUUGCACAAUGGAGGGAACUCUGAUGCAGCGACGCCGCGUGAGCGAUGAAGGAAUUCGUUUCGUAAAGCUCUGUUCUAUGGGAAGAAAAGGACUGUACCAUAGGAGAAAGCCCCGGCUAAAUACGUG
rnacentral:rRNA from 1 species